UAUAAGGCCUCCGUUACGUACUCCAUUUUCCGAUUCCUCCCUCAUUCUCUCUGCUUUUUCCUACCAUCAGACUUUCUGUACAUUUAAUUCACCAAAUUGUUUCCAUUUCUGUACUCACUACAAAUUUUGUCACUAAGUUUUGUUGUGAUCUUUUGGUUGAUCAGUUUGUACCCUGUUGUUUUUCCUUUUAAAACAAGCCUUACAAAUUUUGCACUUGUCAAUUCAAAUGACACUCAUAAUUCAUAACUAUUAACAAACCCGUCGGUAUCUCUAUGAUCUUUCUGUUUUUGUUUGCAAUAACAAUGGCGUCGUAUUUGUCCAGAACUCAUUAAUGAUGGAGUAGUGAAAAGCGGUGUGGUAUUAUUGAUCUUCAAGUCCAAAAUUUUGUGAAAAGCAUAUGACUGUUCUGGUUUUAAUUUUUAAAUUUUCAAAACUGAAGACAUGCAUUAGCUGGAGCAGGUGGACUUUCUUUUGAAGAGGCAAGCAAUUUUUUAUCAUUCAAGUACAAGGGCAAACGAGAGAACAGGAUUUUGAUUAUGCGCAAAUAGAGGCUAAAACCUCUGUUUACUCCUCAUUGUUCUGAUGAGAGAGAUUUCAUUCUUGAAACAUGCCUCGAAAUCCGCAAAAAUCAUUUUUAACCCUCUCUCUUAUCCCCUUCCUUCUGGCGUAUACACUUAUAAGUUUCGACUCAUCUUUAUUCCUUCAACUCCUGAAGUACCCUCAAUGCCAAACACUAACUAUGCCCGAAUCAGUAGAGUCUGAGCCAUUUAUUUCUAGUAGCUCCGAUGACUGCCAGCAUCACAUGAAGAAACAAUGUGAUAGCAGAAACUACAUUGUACGAUUCUAUCAUUAUAAAGAAGCAGAAGAUCACUGGAAUUAUCUUCAAGAUAACUUGAAACUUAAGGGAUGGCAAUGGAUUGAGAGGAAAAAUCCAGCUGUGAGAUUUCCUACUGACUUUGGUUUGGUGGCAAUCGACGAGUCAGUGAAACAAUUCUUGCUAGAAAAGUUCAUGGAAUUGAAUCUUGUAAAAGACGUUUCAUUGGAUUUGAGCUAUCAAAGGAUAGUUCUUGAAGAAAAGAGUGAGAAGAUUGGGGCUUUUGCCAAUGGGAAGAAGAGACCAGGGAAGAUUUUUACUGCUAUGUCCUUCAGUGAAGGUCAAAGCUAUGCAGAGGCCAACACUAGUAAAUUGAAGAUAAGUUGGAACAGACAUAUAUUGAUGCAGAAAUCUCAAGUUACAUCCCUCCUUGGAGCACAUGCACUCUGGUCAAAAGGGAUUACUGGUGCUAAAGUAAAAAUGGCAAUUUUUGAUACAGGUAUUCGGGCAGGUCACCUGCAUUUUCGUAAUAUCAAGGAACGCACAAACUGGACCAAUGAAGAUACAUUGAAUGACAAUGUAGGACAUGGGACAUUUGUAGCUGGUGUCAUUGCUGGUCAGGAUGAAGAAUGCCUCGGUUUUGCUCCAGACACAGAGAUCUAUGUUUUUCGUGUAUUUACAGAUGAACAGGUCUCUUACACAUCCUGGUUUCUUGAUGCAUUUAAUUACGCAAUUGCAACCAACAUGGAUGUGCUGAAUUUGAGCAUAGGUGGACCUGAUUAUUUGGAUCUUCCUUUUGUGGAAAAGGUUUGGGAGCUUACUGCAAACAACAUUAUCAUGGUUUCCGCUAUCGGAAAUGAUGGACCACUUUAUGGUACUCUAAACAAUCCUGCAGAUCAAAGUGAUGUUAUUGGUGUUGGUGCUAUUGAUUAUAGCGAUCAUGUAGCCUCAUUUUCUUCACGUGGAAUGAGUACCUGGGAGAUUCCUCACGGUUAUGGCCGUGUGAAGCCAGACCUUGUUGCUUAUGGAUAUGAGAUUAUGGGAUCCAAAAUCAGCACAGGUUGUAAAAGAUUAUCUGGCACUAGUGUGGCCAGUCCUGUGGUUGCUGGCAUUGUAUGCCUCCUUGUUAGCAUCGUACCUGAGAACAAGCGAAAGGGCAUUCUAAAUCCAGCCAGCAUCAAACAAGCGCUGGUUGAGGGGGCAACAAAGCUUUCCGGUCCCAACUUAUAUGAGCAGGGUGCUGGCAGGGUUAACUUGUUGGAGUCAUAUGAAAUUUUGAAGAGCUAUAAACCUCGAGGGAGCAUCUUUCCCAGUGUUCUUGAUUACACUGAUUGCCCUUACUCUUGGCCAUUUUGCCGUCAACCACUUUAUGCGGGUGCAAUGCCAGUUAUAUUUAAUGCUACUAUUUUAAAUGGAAUGGGUGUAAUUGGUUAUGUUGAGAGCCCACCUACAUGGCAUCCUUCCAAUCAUGAAGGUAACCUUCUUAGCAUCCGUUUUACUUACUCAGGAGUCAUUUGGCCUUGGAGUGGUUAUCUAGCACUCCACAUGCAAAUCAAGGAAGAAGGAGCUCAGUUUUCAGGAGAAAUUGAAGGCAACAUAACUGUCAAAAUCUACAGCCCACCAGCUGUAGGCGAAAAGAGUCGGCGAAGUAAUACCUGUUUCCUGCACCUGAAACUGCAAGUGAUUCCUACACCACCAAGAUCUGUACGGAUAUUAUGGGAUCAAUUUCACAGUAUCAAGUAUCCACCAGGUUAUAUUCCAAUAGAUUCCUUUGAUGUUAGGAAUAAUUUACUUGACUGGCAUGGGGAUCACCUGCAUACAAAUUUUCAUUCACUGUUUGACAUGCUAAGAGAUGCUGGAUACUAUAUUGAAACUCUUGGCUCCCCUCUCACAUGUUUUGAUGCAAAUCAGUAUGGGACGCUUCUCCUUGUCGAUCUCGAGGAUGAGUACUUUCCCGAAGAGAUAAAGAAGCUAAGGGAUGACGUCACUAAUUCAGGCCUUGGUGUGGCUGUAUUUGCUGACUGGUAUAAUGUGGAUGCAAUGGUAAAGAUGAGGUACUUUGAUGGUAAUACACAUAGCUGGUGGACACCAGUUACUGGAGGUGCCAAUAUACCUGCUUUGAAUGAUCUUUUGGCAACCUUUGGAAUUGCAUUUGGUGAUAAAAUUCUAAAUGGUGAUUUUGUCCUCUCCAGUAAACAGAAUCUGUAUGCAUCUGGGACUGACAUUUUGAAGUUCCCGAGGGGUGGAUACUUGCACAGCUUUCCAUUCCUAGAUAGAUCGCAGAGCACAGACGCUCAGAAUGUCGUAUUACCGGGCAUGUCCAAGAUCGAUUCACCUAUUCUUGGUCUUUUGGAGGUUGGUGGGGGUCGAAUUGCAGUGUAUGGGGACUCUAACUGUUUGGACAGUAGCCAUAUGGUUGCCGAUUGUUAUUGGCUUUUGAAGAAAAUAUUAGAUUUUACUAGCAGAAAUGAAAAAGAUCCUGUACUUUUCUCACAUUCAGUUAGACAAAAUACGCCAUUAUAUGUUGACAAUAACAAGUUACCAUCCCGCAGAACAGAUGUAAAUUUUUCUAUGUACUCUAGUGUUGUUGGAAAGGAGUUGAUCUGCGAGCGUGACUCAAGAUUUGAAGUAUGGGGAACAAAGGGUUACAAUUUACCGGCCAGGGAAAAGAACCGCAGAUUACCCGCCUAUCUUGUCAAUGACUUGGGUAUGUUAAUAUCUAAUUCAGCACAAAAGAAUGGUGACUCUUUUGAGAACAAGUACUGGAGUUCAUUUUACAAUGAUGAUAUUGACAUGCCUCUUGCUAGUCACUGGUUUGUGCCGGCAAUUGUUGCCAUAAUUGGUCUAAUGCUCUUAUUCUGGCGCAUGCAACAGCGUGGCAGGAGAAGGAGAAGAUCUAGCUCAGGUCGUUUUACUAAUUUCUAGCCCCCAAUUGACGUGGAUAUCCUUUUUUAAUGUGCUCUCUAAGGUUUUGUGAUAUGAUUCAAGUUUAUAUAUAAGCCUGAAAAUAUCACAAAGUCUAGUGUUCACGUAAAUGUUGACAUAAUAGAAAGAUUUGAAGAAAAAUCCAUCACCAAAACAAUUGGAUAUGCUUAGGAACACAUGUUCUGAAGAUAUUCUUCAACUGAAAAAAUUGUACAGAACCAAUUAACUCAUUACUUGAGGGGAUAUCGCAAGAAUGAUGAUGAAUUAUGAGUUAGAGUUGAAUGGUGUCAAACUGUUUAUUGGUUUGGAGGAGAAUGUGUUAAUGACCGGUUUAAAUUCAUCGGGAUGCUGGUUAUGACAAUAAUUUGAUUAUGAGAUGUCUUGAUGGUUCUAAAAAUAUUGAUAAGGUGUGCAUUGAUGAGUGAUGAACUAUGCACUGUAAAUUGAAUUUUUUUUCCAGAUUGUGUAGUGUUUUAUAGUACUGAGGAGAGUUUCUUGGUCUUAGCAUAAUUGACCUUCUUCAAUGUGUUUAGUGUAAAUGAGUUUCGAAUUAGACAAUUUUGAGUUGAAUGUAUUUUUAUUAAGAGUCCGGAAUCUAAAGGGCUAACUUUUUUA